rnacentral:rRNA from 1 species
AUUGAACGCUGGCGGCAGGCCUAACACAUGCAAGUCGAACGAGUGGCGGACGGGUGAGUAAUGUCUGGGAAACUGCCUGAUGGAGGGGGAUAACUACUGGAAACGGUAGCUAAUACCGCAUACCAUCGGAUGUGCCCAGAUGGGAUUAGCUAGUAGGUGGGGUAACGGCUCACCUAGGCGACGAUCCCUAGCUGGUCUGAGAGGAUGACCAGCAACACUGGAACGGAGACACGGUCCAGACUCCUCCGGGAGGCAGCAGGGGGGAAUAUUGCACAAUGGGCGCAAGCCUGAUGCAGCAAUGCGGCGUGUAGGAAGAAGGCCUUCGGGUGGUAAAGUACUUUCAGCGGGGAGGCGUUACCCGAAGAAGAAGCACCGGCUAACUCCGUGCCAGCAGCCGUGGUAAUAC